ACGAACGCUGGCGGCGUGCCUAAUACAUGCAAGUAGAACGCUGAAGGAGGAGCUUGCUUCUCUGGAUGAGUUGCGAACGGGUGAGUAACGCGUAGGUAACCUGCCUGGUAGCGGGGGAUAACUAUUGGAAACGAUAGCUAAUACCGCAUAAGAGUAGAUGUUGCAUGACAUUUUCUUAAAAGGUGCAAUUGCAUCACUACCAGAUGGACCUGCGUUGUAUUAGCUAGUUGGUGAGGUAACGGCUCACCAAGGCAACGAUACAUAGCCGACCUGAGAGGGUGAUCGGCCACACUGGGACUGAGACACGGCCCAGACUCCUACGGGAGGCAGCAGUAGGGAAUCUUCGGCAAUGGACGGAAGUCUGACCGAGCAACGCCGCGUGAGUGAAGAAGGUUUUCGGAUCGUAAAGCUCUGUUGUAAGAGAAGAACGAGUGUGAGAGUGGAAAGUUCACACUGUGACGGUAUCUUACCAGAAAGGGACGGCUAACUACGUG
rnacentral:rRNA from 1 species